UAUUGAGCAACAGGGAAGUGCUAAUACCUUGCAAAAUGCAGCCAUUGUAGAGAACACAUUCUCUGGCCAUAAUACAAGAAAGAAAUCAUAAGAAAACAAAAGGAAUAAUAACUUGACCAUCCCCCAAGUUUUGCAGGGUUGUGUUAUGACUCUCCUUUCUGUUUCUCUAGAAGUAUUUUCUUUCAUAUUCUUUCAGAGAAUUUCUUAAUCUAAAGCCAUUCUCUCUGGCCAUCAUGUGGACAUCAUUUAGUACGUUUGUCUUAUGGUUAAUAACCUCUAUCCUGUAAUUUCUUUGGCAACUGUGUAUCUAAAAAGCUCUUCUGGUAACACAAGACAAUGGGUUAAACUCUGAGCCUGUCAUACUCGCAUUGAAAUACAGGCUAUUGCAGGUACUAAAAUGCCACUUAUUGUGUUCCCUUAUUUAUUCUUAUCCAUAUUGCUGUUUUCAAAGCCCCAUUUUUAAACAUUUAUCAAAAUAUAGUUGAUUUACAAUGCUGUGUAUACAUUCUGCUAUACAGCAGAGUAACUCAGUUAUAUAUGUAUUAUCUUUCAUAUUCUUUUCAAUUAUGAUUUAUCACAGGACAUUGAAAAUAGAUCCCUAUGGUAUAUAGUAAGAUCUUGUUUAUCCAUCUCAUAUAUAUAAGAGUUUGCAUCUACUAAUCCCAAACUCCAAUCCUUCCCUCUCCUCCCACCCUAGUUGGUAACCACAAGUCUGUUCUCUGUGUCUGAGUAUGUAUCUGUUUUGUAAAUAACUUCAUUUGUGCCAUAUUUUAGAUUCCACAUGUAGGUGAUAUCAUAUGAUAUUUCUCUUUGGCCUGCUUCACUUAGUAUGAUAAUCUCAUGUUGUUGCCAAUGGCAUUAUUUCAUUCUUUUCUAUGGCUAAGUAAUAUUCCAUGUAUACAUAUAUAUCACAUUUUCUUUAUCCAUUCAUCUGUUGAUCAACAUUUAGGUUGUUUCCAGUGCAUUAUAAAUAGCACUGCUGUGAACAUAGGGAUGCAUGUGUCUUUUUGGAUUAAAAUUUUUUCACUCCUGGGCAUAUACCUGGGAGUGAGAUUGCUGGAUCAUAUGAAAAAUCUAUUUUUAGUUUUUCAAGGAACCUCCAUGCUCUUUUCCAAUUUACAUUACCACCAACAGUGUAAGAGGGUUCCCCUUUCUCCAAACCCUCUCCAGCAAUUAUUAUUUGUAGACUUUUUAAUGAUUGCCAUUCUGACUGGUGUUAAUACCUCAUCGUAGUUCUGAUUUGCAUUUCUCUAAUAAUUAGCAAUGAUGAGCUAAUGGUCAUAUGCCUAUUGACCAUCUGUAUAUUUUCUUUGGAGAAAUGUCUAUUUAAGUCUUCUGUCCAUUUUUCAGUUGAGUUGUUUGGUUUAAAGUUGUUGUUAUUGCUGAAUUAUAGGAGCUGAUUAUUUUGGAAAUUAAGCCCUUGUCAGUUGCAUCAUUUGCAAAUAUUUUCUCCCAGUCUGUAGGCAGUCUUUUCAUUUUAUGGUUUUCUUUGCUGUGCAAAAGCUUGUAAGUUUGAUUAUGCCUCAUUUGUUUACUUUUGUUUUUAUAUCAAAUGCCUUGGGAGGCUGACCUAAGAAAACAUUGGUAUGAUUUAUGUCAGAGAAUGUUUCCCUAUAUUCUCUUCUAGGAGUUUUAUGGUGUCUUGACUUAAUAUUUAAGUCUUUAAGCCAUUUUGAAUUUAUUUUUGUGUAUGGUGUGAAGGUGUGUUCUAAUUUCAUUGAUUUACAUGUGACUGUCCAACUUCCCCAAUACUACUUGCUGAAGAGACUGUCUUUUCUCCACUGUAUAUUCUUGCCUCCUUUGUUGAAGGAUUAAUUGUCAAGAUGUGUAUGGGUUUAUUCCUUGGCUUUCUAUUCUGUUCCAUGUAUCCAUAUGUCUGUUUUGGUGCCAACACCAUGCUGUUUUGAUUACUGUAGCUUUGUAACAUUGUCUGAACUAUGGGAGAGUUAUGCCUCCUUCUUUGCUCCUUUUCCUCAAGACUGCUGUGAUAAUUCUGGGUCUUUUAUGGUUGCCUAUAAAUUUUGGGAUUAUUUUUUCUAAUUCUGUGAAAAAUGUCAUUGGUAUUUUUAGAGGGAUUGCAUUAAAUCUGUAGAUUGCUUUGGGUAUUGUGGCUAUUUUAAUGUUAUUAAUUUUUCAAUCCAAGAGCAUGAGAUACCUUUCCCUUUCUUUGAAUCAUCUUAAAUUUUCUUUAUUAAUGCUUUGUAGUUGUCAGCAUAUAAGUCUUUCCCUCUCCUUGGUGAGGUUUAUUCCUAAAUAUUUUUUGAUGCAAUAAUAAAAGGGAUUAUAUGUUUACAUACUCUUUAUAAUAUUUCCUUGUUAGUGUAAGGAAAUACAACCAUUUCCAUAUGGUAAUCCUGUAAUCAAAGCUUUUUAUUUUCUAAUAUUUAAAGAUUAAACUGAUAACUUUUCUAAAUAAUUCUUAGACCAAGAGGAAAUAUAAAUGUAAAUUAUGUAAAAUGUAAAAAUAUCACUGGUAAGAAUAUUAUGCUUACAUAUAUCAACACAUAUGAGAGAUUUCCAGAGUUACACUCAGAAGAAAAUAAAUAUCUCUAUGUGCGUCAAAUAGUAAUGAAAAAUUUUUAAAUUUAAAAUUACAUUGAAGAAGUUACAAAAAGAAUAUCUAAAAUAAAGCAGGGGUUGGCAAACUAUAGUCCAUAGGCCACUUUCAGCCCACCAUCUGUCUUGGUUAAUAAGGUUUUAUUGAAAUGUAGCUAUGUUCGUUCAUUUUUGUCUAUGGCUACUUUUGUAUUACAAGGGUAGAGUUGAAUCAUUGUGACAAGGACCAUUUGGCCUGGAAAGCCAAACAGCCUUUCACUGUGUCCUUAAUCUAGGAUAUGCAAAGAAAAGGAUUAUUAAAAAUAAAACUAUGAACUAAUGAUUUGGAAAAGGGUAUAAUUGAGAGAUAAAUUAAUUGUUUUAGCACAUAGAAAACUAUACAAUAUUAUAAAUCCUGUUUCAUUAGAAUUGUUUCAUACUAAAACUUUGAGUAAAAAGCAUAAUGAAAUAGUGCAGAUAAAUUUCUCACAUACUGGUGAAAAACUUUAAGUGAAUAUUAUUAAACCUAAUUCAGCAGUAUAUUUAAUUACUAAUUACCUGCAACCAGGUUAAAAUUUAUUCCAGGAUGUACAGGUUAUUUACUGUAAGUAAAUAUGUUAAUAUAUCAAAUCACACUAAAUAGCCCAAUGCAGAGAAAAUGUAUAGUAAUUUCAAUAGAUAUAGAAAAACAAUCUUUUUAUGAUAGAAAAAUAUAAUCUAGAAGUGGGGAAGUAUUUUCUCAGUAUGACACAAACAGCCAGUGUUACUUUCACAGUUAAAUAUUAGAGAUAGUCUUAUUAAAAUCAUAAAUGAUAUAAGAAUGUCUUUGGGAGUUCCUGUUGUGGUACAGUGGAAAUGAAUCUGAAUAGUAUCCAUGAGGAUUCAGGUUUGACUCUUGGCCUUGCUCAGUGGGUUGGGGAUCCAGUGUUGCCAUGAGCUGUGGUUUUAGGUAGCAGAUACAGCUUGAUUCCGUGUUGUGGCUGUGGUGUAGGCCGGCAGCUGUAGCUCUGAUUCCACCCCUGGCCUGGGAACUUCCAUAUGCCGCGAGUACAGCUCUAAAAAGAAAAAAAAAGAAAAAAAAAAAAAAGAGUAUCUUCUGUGUUCAUGAAUAUUUAAGGAAAAGCACUUUUAAAAGUUCUAACCAGUUGGAUAAGACAUGAAAGGCUUGAAAAGAGGAAAACAUGCAAGUAUUAUUUUCAUAUUAUAUUAUUGUAUUUCCUGAAAACAAAGGAAAUCCAGACAUUAACUGAUUUAAUCUUUGACCCCAUUCAGGUUUCUUCAGUUGGCAGGGGGAUUCCUUUCAGUUUUACAUACUGCAUUUACUUGUCAUGUCUCUGCAUUUUCCUUUAAUUUGGAAAAGUUUCUCAUUCUUUCCUUGUAUUUCAUACCUUGAUUCUUUUGAAAACUAUAGAUCAGUUAUUUCAAGGAACAUCUAUUAUUUUGGGUGUGCCUAUUAGUUUCAUCAUUGGCUGAAGUAUUUCAGAAAUACUGUUGUUCUAUCCCCAUCCUUUCAGAUGAACAUAUUUUUCCUUUGUUCUACUACUGGUAGUACUUACCUUUGAUAAGUUGAUUUAAGUGGUGUUGACCAUUCUAAAGUUAUUACUUUUCACUUUAUAACUGGUAAGUAUUAUAUGAGGAGGUACUUGGAACUAUAAAAAAUAUUCUUUAUCUCAUUAAACUUUCAAUUUAUUUAUUUACUUAUGCUGGCAUGGAUUGAUGGUUCUCUAUUUCAUUCAAUGGUUAUAAUUUGUUUCUAUAUUUAUUUUAAUGCUUUUAUUGUCCCACAUGGCCAGUGGGAACCCCUUCAGUGUGGCUUCAGAGUGUCCUUUUGAUGUGUCCCUAUCAUUUUUUCAGAACUUUUUGACUUUCUGACACAAUGGUAUAUUCUGGGCUUAUCUUGUGUUUUACCUUCUUUAGUUUUGGAAUUAGACUUUUCUUUAUAAGGUAUCUUGGUCUCUCUUUAGUAGAAUCAAGACAUGGGUACAAGGUACCCUCAUUACUGUUAGGUUAUUGCUGCUCCCAGUCUCUUUCUCUUAGUGGAAAGAGCUGCACAGAUUGUAAUGUGUGUAUUCACACACAUCAUCUGUGUCCAUUUUAUUUCUCCAUUUACCUGCUUGAAAGCCAAGAGCACAUACUGACGCCUCCAAGCCAGUUUCCUUGGCAGAAUUCAUACUAGUUUCUCUCUUUCUGUAUUUGUGACUCCCUUUUCUAAAAAUGAAAUACGUGGCUACCAAGAUUGCUAAUUUACUGAUGUGAUUACUUCCCUAUAUGUAACAGAUCUGUCACUGCUUCUGCCAUUGUUUGCCCAGCGGAUCCCCCUUCACCCUACGAGGGCUCUAACACUGCACCUGGCUGCCAUCCUCCUCACCUCCACUGUCCCUCUCCUCAUGUCAUUGGUACUCUGCCUGCCCACACCAGGCUACCCUUGGACAGAGACUUUGCUCAAGUUCUGCCACCCUGCUCUGGGAAGCCCUUCUGCACAUUCACUCUCCUCAAUCUUCUUGGUCUCAGACCUCCUGCCUGGGCCACCUCACCUUCCACCUCACAUCUCCAGUCCAUAGCAGAUGCCUGCCUUUCUUGAUCCCAUCAGUAGCUUUAAAACUGAAUUAUUCAUCAAGGGGAGAGAAAAAGAAAAGGAAAAGGAAGAGGAAAAUGACAUUACGUUUCUUGAGAAAGGAAAGUAUCAAAUAAAUGAAAAUGGAACAAUUUCUAACAUAUAUAAAGGGACCUAUUUCAGUGGUUUUAAGAGCUUAGUGUUAAAAGUCAUAAUACAAAAUACACCAAAAAAGUGAACAUUUUUCUUACACUACGAUGUUAAAGGUGUAAAACCAGAGAGUAGCCAUUUAAAAUCAAACGAGCAAAAAUCAAAAAGGAGUAUAUUAUAAAUAAUAUGUUCCAAUAUGUAUAUACAUAUAUCUUAUAAAAUUGUAAUCAUUAUAAUUAUCUGAAGCACUCUUACAAAUCAAUUUUAAAAAGCCCCCAGUGGUAAAACAGAUAUAGGUUAUGAAUAGAAAUUCACAUACAUUAAAAAUUACAAGGAGUUCCUAUCAUGGUACAGUGGUUAAUGAAACGGACUAGUAUCCAUGAGAAUGCAGAUUCUAUCCCUGGCCUUGCUCAAUGGGUUAAGGAUCCGGCAUUGCUGUGGGCUUUGGUGUAGCUUGCAGACAUGGCUUGGAUCUGGCAUGGCAGUGACUGUGGUGUAGGCCGGAGGCUACAGCUCUGAUUCAGUCCCUAACCUGGGAACCUCCAUGUGCCAUGGGUGUGGCCCUAAAAAAAAAGACAAAUAAAAGUACAAACUACCAGUAAUGAUAAAGGGAAUGUUUAAUCUAUCUGGAAAUAAAAUUCAAAUAAUAGUAAUAAUAAACUAUUUUUUCUUUCAAAAUGACAUACUGCAAUAAGAAAAAUUAGAGUUUCUAAAUAUG
rnacentral:lncRNA from 1 species